rnacentral:rRNA from 1 species
UACGGGGGGAGCAAGCGUUGUUCGGAUUUACUGGGCGUAAAGGGCGCGUAGGCGGUCGUGACAAGUCACUUGUGAAAUCUCCGGGCUUAACUCGGAACGGUCAAGUGAUACUGUCGGACUAGAGUACAGAAGGGGCAACUGGAAUUCUCGGUGUAGCGGUGAAAUGCGUAGAUAUCGAGAGGUACACCUGCGGCGAAGGCGGGUUGCUGGGCUGAUACUGACGCUGAGGCGCGAAAGCCAGGGGAGCGAACGGG